rnacentral:misc_RNA from 1 species
AAAAAAAAUGGAGCCAAUAGUGUUAGAAGAGCAAGUGUAUGCCAAACCAAUGGUGAAUAAUUAAUUGAGGAGAUGAUGUAUGUCAAAAGUAUCACACAACAGCAAGUCCAGCACGCCAGACCGAAAGAUCUUAAAAUGCAUGCUUCGCUUAUAGUAAAACUGAACUUCUUGAUUAAUUGGGUUUAAAAGAAAAAAAUAAUUCAAACCCUUUUCUUAAGGUUCACUUCAUUUGAUGUAUCAAUG